rnacentral:rRNA from 1 species
GACAGAGGCCUCAAGCGUUAGGCGGAAUCACUGGGCUUAAAGCGUGUGUAGGCGGAUCGUUAAGUGUCUUGUGAAAUCCCACGGCUCACCCGUGGAACUGCUGGGCAUACUGGCGAUCUUGGGCCAACUAGGGGCAACUGGAACAAGCGGUGGAGCGGUGAAAUGCGUAGAUAUCAUUUGGAACGCACUAGUGAAACAGGAUAGCUGGGAGUGUGCUGACGCUGAGACACGAAAGCCAGGGGAGCAAACGGG